rnacentral:rRNA from 1 species
CCUACGGGAGGCUGCAGUGGGGAAUAUUGGGCAAUGGAGGCAACUCUGAUGCAGCAACGCCGCGUGAAUGAUGAAGGUCUUCGGAUUGUAAAGUUCUUUUCUAAGGGAAGAGGAAAGAGACGGUAUCUUAGGAAUAAGCCGCGGCUAACUACGUGAGAGCAGCCGCGGUAAUCCGUAGGAGGCAAGCGUUAUCCGGAAUGACUGGGCGGAAAGGGUGCGGAGGGGGUUGAGCAAGUUAGUAGCGAAACCCCGGGGCUCAACCUCGGCACUACUACUAAAACUGUUGGACUUGAGUGCAGGAGGGGCAAGUGGAAUUCCUAGUGUAGCGGUGAAAUGCGUAGAUAUUAGGAGGAACACCAGUGGCGAAGGCGAGUUGCUGGACUGUAACUGACACUGAGGCACGAAAGCGUGGGGAGCAAACAGGAUUAGAUACCCCUGUAGUC